GCUGGGUGUGGUGGUGCAUGCCUGUAAUGCCAGUGGCUUGGUAGGCUGAGGUAGGAGGAUUGCAAGUUCAAAGCCAGCCUCGACAACUUAGCAAGGUCCUGAGCAACUUAGGGAGACCCUGUCUCAA
rnacentral:sRNA from 1 species